GGUUAAGCGACUAAGCGUACACGGUGGAUGCCCUGGCAGUCAGAGGCGAUGAAGGGCGUGCUAAUCUGCGAUAAGCGCCGGUAAGGUGAUAUGAACCGUUAUAACCGGCGAUACCCGAAUGGGGAAAC
rnacentral:rRNA from 1 species